AGUUCACCCAACCUGCCCACUAAAGGAAGAAGCAAAGAAGUCUAAGUUCUUUGGAGUAAGAUGCUCUCAAAUGCCUAGGAACACUGAUCUCCUAACUUGUCUUCCUGCUUUGAGUGUCCCUCUGAGGUUAAAGUUCCUGCCUCAGUCUCCAACAAUGGGAUGCAAGGUGCCCAGACUGUGCAAAGCAAUGGCAGCUGCAUGGAGUCCAGAGAGAGCACCUGGAGGCCUGGAAGGCUUCCAAAAGAAAGUGAGUUUGCACUCCUCUGAGAUACAAGACAAGUAUUUGGAAGAUGCAGGAUUUUACUGAAGUUCUCAUGGAAGGCUUUGGGCCCACUGAUCCCAUCCAUGGGCAUUUUGUCCCCUCCACAAUCCAGCUGAGGGCUGGACUUCCCUGGGACCAUUCUCAGGGGUCACAGGCAUAACCUGUCCAUGCAUUAAAGGUUGGCGCAGAAACUUGGGGCACCUCCAGCCAUUAAUUCAGAUUCAUCUGUUUCAACGUAUUCCCAUCCACCCACAGACUACUGGGGGCCACCCAGAGGCCUGAGUUUCCACCAGUUUCUCACAUGAGAGAAAGCUGAAGGAAAAGGUAUGAAGGCGGAUUUCACUGUUGACAGGUUGUCUUUCAAGUGUGGGUCCUGGCGUUUAUGAGGCAAUGAUGAGACACCUAGAAAGAAGCACAUCUCUGAGACAUGACAGUUCAGUCCCAAAGGCCAUUAAUAGAGGGCCAGCUCAUCAACACAGCUGCAGAAACAGAGCACAGCCAGCCUCGCAGCCCCACACGCUGAAGCCCCCGCUGCAGCAUUCCAUCUACUCUAGCGCCCAUGCAAAUUGAAAACCUAAAAUAGUUCACUCCCCAUAGCCACUGGCUUUGAAGAAUCUCUUUUGUCUCCAUGAAAUAGCUCCAGGAGACAGAACCCAGAGAAAAACUUUUUGAAGUGAACUUUUUCCUUAUAAUUUUAUUUAAAUUUGAAUAUUUUUGUAGAAAUAAUAAAGUUAUCCACUAAUUAUCUGUGUGACAC
rnacentral:lncRNA from 1 species